GGGAUUUCUAUGAAAAUAAGCGAUAUUUUAGGGGAAAAACAGGGAUUUCUAUGAAAAUCAGCGAUAUUUUAGGUUAAAAACAGGGAUUUCUAUGAAAAUAAGCGAUAUUUUAGGUGAAAAACAGGGAUUUCUAUGAAAAUAAGCGAUAUUUUAGGUUAAAAACAGGGAUUUCUAUGAAAAUAAGCGAUAUUUUUGGGGAAAAACAGGGAUUUCUAUGAAAAUAAGCGAUAUUUUUGGGGAAAAACAGGGAUUUCUAUGAAAAUAAGCGAUAUUUUAGGGGAAAAACAGGGAUUUCUAUGAAAAUAAGCGAUAUUUAAGGUUAAAAACAGGGAUUUCUAUGAA